GUUCGUCUUUUUUCAGCCUCGAAGCUUGCAGCUUGAUGUUGGUGUCUGAUGGAAGACAUAAAGACAUAAAGAAGCUGGGGUUUCCAUAAGUACCAUGAUUGGACUGAAGAUGAUUUAACAACUAUAAUUGCGUUCAAAUAGCUCAGUUCCUUCCUCUGAGGCAAGUUCUGGACCCUACUACUCUCUGCAAAGCCAAGUUGCUCAGAAAGUGCCUGUAAUCAGUGAUGAGCAGCCUGCAGUGGGCUCUGGAAGACAACAAGAUUUAGCUUCUGAAGACUUCAAAUCAAUCAAGACGUCAGCCCACCACUGAUCAGAGGCACUUGCUGUGUGUGUAUGUUUCUCCCAGCGCCCAGCACAGAGGCACAGAGGCCCCACGAUGCUUUAUGAGUUUUCUGAAGGAAAUGUUAAUGCAAUUUUUAAUGUGUGUUUGGAUUUGAGGAUUUGGGUCCUCCUCCUCCUUCUUCAUCUUCUUCUUCCUCUUUCUCUUCCUCCUCUUCUUCCUGGGAAUAUGACUAGAAUAACUUGACAUGGAAUAAUUGUCUGGAAACAAUGACACAUAGAAAAAUUGUCUAUCGUACCAACUGAUACCAUCAAAGUCACCCUUUAGUCAAGAUGAAGAAGUGCUGGAAAUUUUAGGUGCCAUC
ensembl:processed_transcript